CUGCGCCCUGCCGCGGAGCCCUGAGCCCCGAGGUCACCGCGUGGUCGUCCCGCGCACACUGGACAGCAGCCUGGCACGCAGUGGGCGCAGGGUAGCAGCAAGAACAAGA